rnacentral:rRNA from 1 species
ACUCCUGCGGGAGGCAGCAGUGGGGAAUUUUGGACAAUGGGGGCAACCCUGAUCCAGCAAUGCCGCGUGAGUGAAGAAGGCCUUCGGGUUGUAAAGCUCUUUUGUCAGGGAAGAAACGGUGGUGGCGAAUAACUACUACUAAUGACGGUACCUGAAGAAUAAGCACCGGCUAACUACGUGCCAGCAGCCGCGGUAAUACGUAGGGUGCAAGCGUUAAUCGGAAUUACUGGGCGUAAAGCGUGCGCAGGCGGUUGUGUAAGUCAGAUGUGAAAUCCCCGGGCUCAACCUGGGAAUUGCAUUUGAGACUGCACGGCUAGAGUGUGUCAGAGGGGGGUAGAAUUCCACGUGUAGCAGUGAAAUGCGUAGAUAUGUGGAGGAAUACCGAUGGCGAAGGCAGCCCCCUGGGAUAACACUGACGCUCAUGCACGAAAGCGUGGGGAGCAAACAGGAUUAGAAACCCCAGUAGUCCC